AGUUGUAGUCAAAUAGAUUUCGUAUUAGGUUAGCAUUAUAUUUUAUUAUUUUACGUAGGAGUACUAGUAAGCACUAACUGUCUAACAGGAGUCGUCAUGUAUUAAUAUAGUAAGCUUACUACUACUAGUACGGUAACACAGUUUGUCAUAUUAAGCUCUGGCUGGUACUAGUAGUA